UCGCACUAAUCGGGGAGAUAGCGGUGCCCUGUUGCCUGCAAUCCGCUAUAGCAGGGAUGAAUUCCCACACCCGGGCUUGUUUGCGUGCCGUCCGGCCAUCGUAAGCGGUGUUGACGAACCGGUCUUGCGCAACGGAAUCCCGUGAACCAUGUCAGGUGGGGAACCAAGCAGCAUUAAGCGGAUUUUUCCGUGUGCCGCGGGGGCGCCGUUUCUGAGCUGGCUGCGCUGAUACCGGGUACACAGCAGGUUCAAAUGUGGGUGUGCGA
rnacentral:SRP_RNA from 1 species